CUUCUUUCUGCAAGAUGUCAGCAACAGCUUCUGUGAAGUACUGAAGCCCACAGAAGCAGAUUAAAGUCUGAGCUAACAUUGUGCAAUGAGUGUUUUCUACACAGAGUUGGGUGUUCAGUCCAUAAACCUCAAGGACGCAACCCAGAAAAUUGAAAAUCCCAAAUGGAUAAAGAGGAAAGCCAGAAAAAAAAAAAAAAGAAGAACUUUGGGUUGAAGUGUGUAAAUCACAUCCAUAUCCUUUUCCUUUGGUGUUUCAGACUCACACAGGACUUUGGAAUUAGAGUUGGAACACAGGGUAAAUGCAGGAAGUCAUGGGAGAUUGGCUUCACUUAGCUCUGAUACUCUUCUGGUGUUAAUAAUGUGGUAUGAAGAUUUCAAUACAGAAACUUCAGGAACACAGAAUUCAAUUCUUGUUGAAUUAUCUUGAUGGAAACCACGUCACCAAGAAAAGUAAGAGAAUGGAGGGCAACAGCAUAGAUCUUACUUUCACUAGGAAUAAUAUAUUACAAUAUCAAAACUCCCCAGGUAAUUAUUUGAGAAUUCCUAUGGGAUGCUACAUGAAUGUGUGCAGGUGCACAUGUGUAUAGCAUGAGUUCCAGAGGUUUACAGAUUUCUACCUCUCUGGUGCCAGAAUGUCCACAAUUGAUUUACAAAUAGAAGCAUUAUUUAGGAACUCCUGGUAAUUAUAGCUACAGAAAUGAUCUUAAAUUCAUUUACAAUGCAUCAUUUAUCCCUACUAUUUUUGUCACAGUUGCUUGUGGUAUAUGUGAGUCCCAGUCUUGUAUGAUCAUCUGAAAUGACAGUUCUCAACAAUUCUGACAUGGAAUAGACUGAGCCAAAGCUCAUUAGAUGUCACCACAAUAGUGUUAUGACAUCUACACUGUGAUGGCCACUGUGAUGGAAAUAAAUCUAAUAUUACAUAACAACUCAACCUACUAAGACACAUUUUUAGGAGAAUUUUCUUAAUAAGCACAUCCUAUAUAAAUGGUAAACAUUUCUUAGGAGUGCAUCAUGUAACAGUCUCAACCAGAAAGACACCAGGAUGUCAACAAGUGCAUAAAAUGGUUAUGACAAAAUUUAUCAGAGUCACUUGAAAACAUCUGAAUGAAGUGAAUUAGACAGGUACUUUCUGGAACAACUGUGGAAACACUAAUUUUUCCCAGGAAUUCCUCCCAACAUAGAGAGGCGUUAGAGUUGAAUGAGCUCACCUUUGCUGUCAAAAGCUCUUCACUAUUGAGGAUAAUUUUUACAUCACUUGCAACUGUGUCAAUGAAAUAAUUUUGCAAGUGGAAAACCUUUGAAAAGUAAGGAUGUCUAAUGUAGCUCAAGAGUUUAUCUGUUAAGGAUGUAUCUGGCUCAUCUGAGAGCAAAUGUGGAGACUUAAUAUUUGCCUUGAGUUCCUCAAGUGUCAUGUUCAAAUCCUCAGCUAUGUUUUCCAGUGAUGCCUCAUCCAGGCCAAAGGAAGAUCUAUAGUCAUUCAAAGUUUGUUCCAACAUCUGUAGAUCAAUUUUGGUCAAUCCUCUGAAUGAUAUGGCAGCCCAUGCUCUUGGAAUUCUGGAUUCGUUGAAGAUCUUUUGUUUCAGCAUAUCCCUCUUCCGGUCUAUAGUGGAACCUGUAACAUUUGGCAAAGUGACCAUGAACAUGUGGCGUUUGUAUGCUGGAAGUUCUCUUAGAAGAGUGGUUUCUAACUUUGGGAAGUCAAGGUCAGACACAUCAAAAUUCGAGAUUAAGAAGACUGGAGGCUCCUGGUGGGUCACUUCCUUAAGUAAACUCGAAAUGGUAUUUCGAAUCUGC